rnacentral:rRNA from 1 species
CUAUGCGCCUUGCCAGCCCGCUCAGGUGUGCCAGCCGCCGCGGUAAUACGGAGGAUGCGAGCGUUAUCCGGAUUUAUGGGUUUAAAGGGUGCGUAGGCGGAUUUUUAAGUCAGCGGUAAAAUGUCCGGGCUCAACCCGGGCGGCCGUUGAAACUGGGGAUCUUGAGUGGGCGAGAAGUAUGCGGAAUGCGUGGUGUAGCGGUGAAAUGCAUAGAUAUCACGCAGAACUCCGAUUGCGAAGGCAGCAUACCGGCGCCCGACUGACGCUGAGGCACGAAAGCGUGGGGAUCGAACAGG